rnacentral:piRNA from 1 species
UCUGCACUGUGGGCUUCAGUAAAUAAGUU